CACGAGAUAAGUUGGGCAGUCAAAAGGGAAAGAGCCCAGACCUACAGCUAAGGUCCCAAAGUACGUGUUAAGUGGAAAAGGAUGUGGGAUUUCAGAGACAACUAGGAUGUUGGCUUAGAAGCAGCCAUACAUUCAAAGAGUGCGUAAUAGCUCACUAGUCGAGAGGUCCUGCGCCGAAAAUGUCCGGGGCUGAAACACGACACCGAAGCUUAGGAAUGUGAGUAAUCACGUUGGUAGAGGAGCAUUCUUACCGGGAAGAAGCAGUAUUGUAAGGUAUUGUGGACUGGUAAGAAGAGAGAAUGCCGGAAUGAGUAGCGAGAUGGAGGUGAGAAUCCUCCAGGCCGAAUAUCUAAGGUUUCCAGGGUAAAGCUGAUCUGCCCUGGGUAAGUCGGGGCCUAAGGCGAGGUCGAAAGACGUAGCCGAUGGACAACAGGUUGAGAUUCCUGUACUAUCAUAUGACAGAACUGUGGGGAAACAGAGGGAAAGCCUGAGCCGGGAAAGGGAAACCCGGUGCAAGCGAAGUAGGAGCUGGACUGGCAAAUCCGUCCAGCAAUCCGAAGGCGUGACGCGUACCGAAUUCAAGUAGGGAAGCAGGUGAGCCAGCUGUCGAGAAAAGCCGCUAUUGUUCAUAUGAUACCCGUACCGUAAACCGACACAGGUGGAUGAGGAGAGAAUCCUAAGGCCGGCGGGAGAAGCAUUGUUAAGGAACUCGGCAAAAUGACCCCGUAACUUCGGGAGAAGGGGUGCCUCUGAAAGGAGGCCGCAGAGAAUAGGCUCAAGCAACUGUUUAGCAAAAACACAGGUCUAUGCGAAACCGAAAGGUGAGGUAUAUGGGCUGACGCCUGCCCGGUGCUGGAAGGUUAAGAGGAGGAGUCAGGCAACGAAGCUCCGAAUUUAAGCCCCAGUAAACGGCGGCCGUAACUAUAACGGUCCUAAGGUAGCGAAAUUCCUUGUCGGGUAAGUUCCGACCCGCACGAAAGGCGUAAUGAUUUGAGCGCUGUCUCGACAAUGCACCCGGUGAAAUUGAAGUACCAGUGAAGAUGCUGGUUACCUGCGCCAGGACGGAAAGACCCCAUGGAGCUUUACUCCAGCUUGAUACUGGGAUUCGAUGCUGUAUGUACAGGAUAGGUGGGAGACUGAGAAGUGAUUACGCCAGUAAUCAUGGAGUCACUGUUGGGAUACCACUCUUGCAGCAUUGGGUUUCUAACCUGCGCCCGUGACCCGGGCGGGGGACAAUGUCUGGCGGGGAGUUUGACUGGGGCGGUCGCCUCCGAAAGGGUAUCGGAGGCGCUCAAAGGUUCCCUCAGGAUGGUUGGAAACCAUCCGAAGAGUGCAAAGGCAUAAGGGAGCUUGACUGUGACACCGACGGGUGGAGCAGGUACGAAAGUAGGACUUAGUGAUCCGGUGGUAUUAAGUGGGAAUGCCAUCGCUCAACGGAUAAAAGCUACCCUGGGGAUAACAGGCUUAUCACUCCCAAGAGUUCACAUCGACGGAGUGGUUUGGCACCUCGAUGUCGGCUCAUCGCAUCCUGGGGCUGUAGCAGGUCCCAAGGGUUGGGCUGUUCGCCCAUUAAAGCGGUACGCGAGCUGGGUUCAGAACGUCGUGAGACAGUUCGGUCCCUAUCCGGCGCAGGCGGAGGAUAUUUGAGAGGAGCUGUCCUUAGUACGAGAGGACCGGGAUGGACGGACCGCUGGUGAAUCUGUUGGCUACCAAAGCCAUGGCAGAGUAGCCAAGUCCGGCAGGGAUAAACGCUGAAGGCAUCUAAGCGUGAAGCCCCCCUCAAGAUGAGAUAUCCCAAUAAGUAAGACCCCUUAGAGAGUAUGAGGUAGAUAGGCUGGAGGUGGAAGUGCAGUAAUGUAUGUAGCUGACCAGUACUAAUCGGUCGAGGGCUUAUCCUG
rnacentral:ncRNA from 1 species